AGAGUUUGAUCCUGGCUCAGGACGAACGCUGGCGGCGUGCCCAACACAUGCAAGUCGAGCGGAGAUUAUAGCAAUGUAAUCUUAGCGGCGGACGGGUGAGUAACGCGUGGGCAACCUACCUCUAACUGGGGGAUAACACAGGGAAACUUGUGCUAAUACCGCAUAACAUCGUGAAAUGACAUCAUUUUAUGAUCAAAGGAGCAAUCCGGUGAGAGAUGGGCCCGCGUCCAAUUAGCUAGUUGGUGAUGUAACGGACCACCAAGGCGACGAUUGGUAGCCGAACUGAGAGGUUGAUCGGCCACAUUGGGACUGAGAUACGGCCCAGACUCCUACGGGAGGCAGCAGUGGGAAUAUUGCGCAAUGGGGGAAACCCUGACGCAGCAACGCCGCGUGAAGGAUGAAGGUUUUCGGAUCGUAAACUUCUUUGAUGAGGGACGAAAGAAAUGACGGUACUUCAAAAACAAGCCACGGCUAACUACGUGCCAGCAGCCGCGGUAAUACGUAGGUGGCGAGCGUUGUCCGGAAUUACUGGGUGUAAAGGGCGUGUAGGCGGGAAUGUAAGUCAGAUGUGAAAUACCGAGGCUUAACUUCGGGGCUGCAUCUGAAACUAUGUUUCUUGAGUGUCGGAGAGGAAAGUGGAAGUCCCAGUGUAGCGGUGAAAUGCGUAGAUAUUGGGAGGAACACCAGUGGCGAAGGCGACUUUCUGGACGAUAACUGACGCUGAGGCGCGAAAGCGUGGGGAGCAAACAGGAUUAGAUACCCUGGUAGUCCACGCCGUAAACGAUGGAUACUAUGUGUAGGAGGUAUCGACCCCUUCUGUGCCGGAGUUAACACAAUAAGUAUCCCACCUGGGAGUACGGCCGCAAGGUUGAAACUCAAAUGAAUUGACGGAAUCUCAAAUGAAUUGACGGAAUCG
rnacentral:rRNA from 1 species